GAUGAACGCUGGCGGCGUGCCUAAUACAUGCAAGUCGAGCGAACAGACGAGGAGCUUGCUCCUCUGACGUUAGCGGCGGACGGGUGAGUAACACGUGGAUAACCUACCUAUAAGACUGGGAUAACUUCGGGAAACCGGAGCUAAUACCGGAUAAUAUAUUGAACCGCAUGGUUCAAUAGUGAAAGACGGUUUUGCUGUCACUUAUAGAUGGAUCCGCGCCGCAUUAGCUAGUUGGUAAGGUAACGGCUUACCAAGGCAACGAUGCGUAGCCGACCUGAGAGGGUGAUCGGCCACACUGGAACUGAGACACGGUCCAGACUCCUACGGGAGGCAGCAGUAGGGAAUCUUCCGCAAUGGGCGAAAGCUUGACGGAGCAACGCCGCGUGAGUGAUGAUGGUCUUCGGAUCGUAAAACUCUGUUAUUAGGGAAGAACAAAUGUGUAAGUAACUAUGCACGUCUUGACGGUACCUAAUCAGAAAGCCACGGCUAACUACGUG
rnacentral:rRNA from 1 species